UGCUAAUUGUUGCGUUGGUUGUGUGGACAUGUGAGUGAGGUUGGACACAUCAUUCGUGUGUGAAGGGACUUGUGGAUCCGGUUCCUGUUUCCAGUGGAAGCAAGCUUCGGAAGGACUGGACUUUUUAUUUUCUAUUUCUUUUAUA